GGACCAGACUCCUACGGGAGGCAGCAGUGAGGAAUAUUGGUCAAUGGGCGAGAGCCUGAACCAGCCAAGUCGCGUGAAGGAUGACGGCCCUACGGGUUGUAAACUUCUUUUGUCAGGGAGCAAUUGAGUCCACGUGUGGGCUUAGCGAGAAUACCCGAAGAAAAAGCAUCGGCUAACUCCGUGCCAGCAGCCGCGGUAAUACGUAGGUGGCAAGCGUUAUCCGGAUUUAUUGGGUGUAAAGGGCGUGUAGGCGGGAGCGCAAGUCAGAUGUGAAAACUCAGGGCUCAACCCUGAGCCUGCAUUUGAAACUGUGUUUCUUGAGUGCUGGAGAGGCAAUCGGAAUUCCGUGUGUAGCGGUGAAAUGCGUAGAUAUACGGAGGAACACCAGUGGCGAAGGCGGAUUGCUGGACAGUAACUGACGCUGAGGCGCGAAAGCGUGGGGAGCAAACAGGAUUAGAUACCCCAGUA
rnacentral:rRNA from 1 species